ACAACGGUGGCCUCCGGUAGGUUAGUGUUCUGGUCUAGUAGACCAGAGGUGGUGGGUUCGAUUCCCACCCGUGGCA
rnacentral:tRNA from 1 species